GAUGAAGAACGCAGCGAAAUGCGAUAAGUAAUGUGAAUUGCAGAAUUCAGUGAAUCAUCGGAUCUUUGAACGCACAUUGCGCCCGCCAGUAUUCUGGCGGGCAUGCCUGUUCGAGCGUCAUUACAACCCUCAGGCCCCCGGGCCUGGCGUUGGGGAUCGGCGGAGCCCCCCGUGGGCACACGCCGUCCCCCAAAUGCAGUGGCGGUCCCGCCGCAGCUUCCAUCGCGUAGUAGCUAACACCUCGCGACUGGAGAGCGGCGCGGCCACGCCGUAAAACACCCAACUCUUCUGAAGUUGACCUCGAAUCAGGUAGGAAUACCCGCUGAACUUAAGCAUAUCAAUAAGCGGAGGA
rnacentral:misc_RNA from 1 species